GUGCUCACUUCGGCAGCACAUAUACUAAAACUGGAACAAUACAGAGAUGAUUAGCAUAGCCCCUGCGCAACGAUAACACACAAAUUCGUGAAGCGUUCCAUUUUUUU
rnacentral:snRNA from 1 species